rnacentral:rRNA from 1 species
UGAGUAACACGUAUGCAACCUGCCUGCCACAGCCGGAUAAUCGGGAGAAAUUCCGUCUAAUACGGCAUAAUGCAUCGACGGGACAUCCUGUUGGUGCCAAAGGUUGAUUCCGGUGGCGGAUGGGCAUGCGUCGCAAUAGUUAGUUGGCGGUGUAACGGACCACCAAGACGACGAUGCGUAGGGGUUCUGAGAGGAAGGUCCCCCACACUGGUACUGAGACACGGACCAGACUCCUACGGGAGGCAGCAG